UUGCUCUGUCAAAUCUGUUGCCAUGGUGGUUUCAGAAGAUCUUUUCCCACAAGAACUUGCCUCGUGUGGUCCUAAAAGUCAUUACUGAUUUAUUUUUUAUUUUUCCAAACAAGAAUGUCUUGCAACGACGUAGAUGAAUACACAAUGUACCUUCAGUUGUACAAAUGGUACAAACAGGAUUGUGUUGAGAUGGGAAAGGUUCCCAAAGAAUUAAUAUCGUUUCUCGGACAGUUAAAAGCAAAAGCUCGUGGCCCUGGUGACGAUAGUCAGUUGAAGGGAAACUUAACUGAAUCGCAAGAAAGUAAACCAUCUUUGGUCUCAGUCUUGGAACCUCCUUGUCCUUCACCGAUGACAACCAAAUUUGAUAAUGUUGCUGCACAUUUUACAACCAGCUCAUCCUUUGGUCAUUCAGCAUUGAAUCCAAAAUCUGCUAACAGAGCCACAAAUUGUCCAGCCUUAGAUGGCAUCAAACGAAAGCUGAGAACCAUUGAAGGGAAAAGUGUUCCUACAGUUAAGAAAAGAUGCAUAAACACAUCCACAUUUACAUUACAUGUAUUUGUGUUCCCACACUUCGGCUGGUUAGGAAGUACAGCCACUACAGGAGAAAAGGCAGACUUUUGUGACAUGUUUUACAGAGCUGGGCUCUGGAGAUAAGGGAGCUGGAAACAUCAUUCCUGGCGGUGCCACACUGCUUUUUGAUGUCGAGUUGAUGGGCAUCAACCAGGCCCCACCUCCCCAGAAUGUUUUCAAACAGAUUGACAGUGAUUCCAACAACCAGUUGUCGAAAGAAGAGAUUACAUAAAAAAGCACAUUUUCCCAACUGAGAAAGCUGAAGAGGUCCCUGCUGAAGAAGGAGCACCGCAGCAGCAAGAUCCUCUCAAGAUUACUGAAGAGAUCUUCCAGCACGAAGAUCACGACCGAGAUGGCUACAUCUCGUUCGAAGAAUUCUACGGACCGCACGAUGAACUCCAAGUCUUCCAUUCUCGCGAUCCAGUUUAAAUCUCAGGUGCGGAGAAUCGAGAUUUUUAAUAUCGAAUUUUCCUAAUAAAUUAGAAUAAUUUUGUUUUCUUUUCAAAUAUAGAAUUAGCUCUCUCAACCGGCCAUAACAAAAUGCAAUUCCAUAUUGUUCUCUUUGUUGUUAUGUCUAAACCUCACUACCUGUUUCUGUACUCGUGUUAUUCGCCCACAUGAAUUAAAUGUGUUGUUCAACCUCGAGUUGAAAAACUCAAGAAACUAUCAAGAAAAUCGAUUAAUUAUCUUGUAAACUAUAAAACAUUUUUACAAAUAUUCCAUGUAAAUCUUUGUUUUAUCCUAAAUUACUCUUCUUUACUUAAGAUUCGGUUAAUCAGUGCUAUAUACUCGUUUGCCAGUUGUUUAUUAUGUUUUUAUUUGUCGGAUUGAAUUCAGAAAUAUAGGCGUUGAUCAUU
rnacentral:lncRNA from 1 species